rnacentral:piRNA from 1 species
UAUAAAAAUACUCACAGAGGACAAACAA